rnacentral:rRNA from 1 species
GAUGAACGCUAGCUAUAGGCUUAACACAUGCAAGUCGAGGGGAAACGGCAUUAUGUGCUUGCACAUUUUGGACGUCGACCGGCGCACGGGUGAGUAUCGCGUAUCCAACCUGCCCUUUACUUGGGGAUACCCCGUUGAAAGACGGCCUAAUACCCGAUGUAAUUCAUUGAUGGCAUCAGAUAUGAAUAAAAGAUUUAUCGGUAAAGGAUGGGGAUGCGUCUGAUUAGCUUGUUGGUGAGGUAAAGGCUCACCAAGGCAACGAUCAGUAGGGGUUCUGAGAGGAAGGUCCCCCACAUUGGAACUGAGACACGGUCCAAACUCCUACGGGAGGCAGCAGUGAGGAAUAUUGGUCAAUGGGCGCAAGCCUGAACCAGCCAAGUAGCGUGCAGGAAGACGGCCCUAUGGGUUGUAAACUGCUUCUAUACGAGAAUAAUUUGAUGCACGUGUGCGUUAUUGCAUGUAUCGUAUGAAUAAGGACCGGCUAAUUCCGUGCCAGCAGCCGCGGUAAUACGGAAGGUCCAGGCGUUAUCCGGAUUUAUUGGGUUUAAAGGGAGUGUAGGCGGUUUGUUAAGCGUGUUGUGAAAUUUAGGUGCUCAACAUUUAACUUGCAGCGCGAACUGUCAGACUUGAGUACACGCAACGUAUGCGGAAUUCAUGGUGUAGCGGUGAAAUGCUUAGAUAUCAUGAAGAACUCCGAUUGCGAAGGCAGCAUACGGGAGUGUAACUGACGCUAAGCUCGAAGGUGCGGGUAUCGAACAGG